GACGGAGGGGGCUAGCGUUGUUCGGAAUGACUGGGCGUAAAGGGCGCGUAGGCGGUUUUUUAAGUGAGGCGUGAAAGCCCUGGGCUUAACCCAGGAACUGCGCUUCAGACUGGAAGACUGGAGUACGAGAGAGGUAAGUGGAAUUCCUAGUGUAGAGGUGAAAUUCGUAGAUAUUAGGAAGAACACCAGUGGCGAAGGCGGCUUACUGGCUCGUAACUGACGCUGAGGCGCGAAAGCGUGGGGAGCAAAC
rnacentral:rRNA from 1 species